GAUGAACGCUGGCGGCGUGCCUAAUACAUGCAAGUCGAGCGAACGGACGAGAAGCUUGCUUCUCUGAUGUUAGCGGCGGACGGGUGAGUAACACGUGGAUAACCUACCUAUAAGACUGGGAUAACUUCGGGAAACCGGAGCUAAUACCGGAUAAUAUUUUGAACCGCAUGGUUCAAAAGUGAAAGACGGUCUUGCUGUCACUUAUAGAUGGAUCCGCGCUGCAUUAGCUAGUUGGUAAGGUAACGGCUUACCAAGGCAACGAUGCAUAGCUGACCUGAGAGGGUGAUCGGCCACCCUGGAACUGAGACAAGGUCCAGACUCCUACGGGAGGCAGCAGUAGGGAAUCUUCCGCAAUGGGCGAAAGCCUGACGGAGCAACGCCGCGUGAGUGAUGAAGGUCUUCGGAUCGUAAAACUCUGUUAUUAGGGAAGAACAUAUGUGUAAGUAACUGUGCACAUCUUGACGGUACCUAAUCAGAAAGCCACGGCUAACUACGUG
rnacentral:rRNA from 1 species